AUCUCUUCUCGGCCUUUUGGCUAAGAUCAAGUGUAAAAAAAAUUUUUUUUACACUUAUUUAUUUGUUGAGACAGAACACAA
rnacentral:snRNA from 1 species